rnacentral:rRNA from 1 species
UAGGUAACCUGCCUCUAGGAUUGGGAUAACCUGUCGAAAGACGAGCUAAUACCAAAUAAGACCACAGUUUCUUCGGAAGCAGCGGUCAAAGGUAGCCUCUACAUGUAAGCUAUCGCUUAGAGCUGGGCCUGCGUACCAUUAGCUAGUUGGUAGGGUAACGCCUACCAAGGCUAAGAUGGUUAGCUGGUCUGAGAGGAUGAUCAGCCACACUGGAA